rnacentral:rRNA from 1 species
CCUACGGGUGGCAGCAGUGGGGGAUAUUGCACAAUGGGGGAAACCCUGAUGCAGCGACGCCGCGUGGGCGAAGAAGUAUUUCGGUAUGUAAAGCCCUAUCAGCAGGGAAGAAGAAAUGACGGUACCUGAGUAAGAAGCACCGGCUAAAUACGUGCCAGCAGCCGCGGUAAUACGUAUGGUGCAAGCGUUAUCCGGAUUUACUGGGUGUAAAGGGAGCGCAGGCGGCACGGCAAGCCUGAUGUGAAAGUCCGCGGCCCAACCGCGGGACUGCAUUGGGAACUACCGGGCUGGAGUGCCGGAGAGGUAGGCGGAAUUCCUAGUGUAGCGGUGAAAUGCGUAGAUAUUAGGAAGAACACCAGUGGCGAAGGCGGCCUGCUGGACGACAACUGACGGUGAGGCGCGAAAGCGUGGGGAGCAAACAGGAUUAGAUACCCUAGUAGUC